rnacentral:misc_RNA from 1 species
CCUCCUUAUACGAAGAUAUCUUUGAUGAGUACCCACACAGAUUGAUGGUUUAGAUUUAGUUAAAGCCAGAGCUUUAAUUAAUAACGUAAGUUAUUGAUUAAAGCUUUUUGCUUUAUGCUCUUUAACAAUUUGGAAAGCUGACUGAUUGAUUUACUUACGAGUAAUUCAAUCAAAUUUAAAAGUUCUCAAUGUUUAUCUUUCAUUAGAUAAACACAACAAACACAUUCAAGUGUCUUGUAUUCGGUUCAAACUUGUUUGAAUCACAUUGAGUCCGGCAAACAGUCAUUGAGAAUUAACCCUUCUUAAUGACAACCAAAAACCUUGGUUAGUUGCCAUACGCUAAGACCCUUUCGGGUUGUAUGGUUAAGUGACUAANCGUACACGGUGGAUGCA